GGCGCACACCGGCCGGCGGGGCUGAGGCGGCGCGACGCGGACUGAGCCCCAGGCGGAGGCCAAGUCGGAGGACGCGGCGCGGGCGCGGAGGCGGAGGCAGCCGCGGAGGCGGAGGCGGCCGGCGGGGGGUGGCGAGGGGCGCCGGGCCCCCGCGGACCUGUCGUCCUCGGCCCGUCCUCCGGCCCCGGCCCCGCGCGCCUGAGGAGGCGCGGCCGGGACCAUGUCGGCGGGCGGCCGUGACGAGGAGCGGCGGAAGCUGGCCGACAUCAUCCACCACUGGAACGCCAACCGGCUGGACCUAUUCGAGAUCAGCCAGCCGACCGAGGAUUUGGAGUUCCAUGGAGUGAUGAGAUUUUAUUUUCAAGAUAAAGCUGCUGGAAACUUUGCAACAAAAUGUAUUCGGGUCUCUAGUACUGCCACCACUCAAGAUGUAAUCGAAACGCUUGCGGAGAAAUUUCGACCUGAUAUGCGAAUGCUGUCCUCUCCCAAGUAUUCACUCUAUGAAGUGCAUGUCAGCGGAGAAGAAAGAAGAUUGGAUAUAGAUGAGAAACCUCUAGUUGUACAGUUGAAUUGGAACAAAGAUGAUCGGGAAGGUAGAUUUGUUCUUAAGAAUGAGAAUGACGCCAUUCCUCCUAAGAAGGCUCAAAGUAAUGGACCUGAAAAGCAGGAAAAAGAAGGGGUUAUCCAGAACUUCAAGAGAACUCUCUCAAAGAAAGAAAAGAAGGAAAAAAAGAAGAGAGAAAAAGAGGCAUUGCGACAGGCAUCUGAUAAAGAUGAUAGACCUUUCCAAGGGGAGGACGUUGAAAAUUCUCGACUGGCUGCUGAGGUUUACAAAGACAUGCCUGAAACCAGCUUUACUCGAACCAUUUCUAAUCCUGAGGUGGUUAUGAAACGACGGAGGCAGCAAAAAUUGGAAAAGAGAAUGCAGGAAUUUCGGAGCUCAGAUGGGCGGCCUGAUUCAGGUGGAACAUUGAGAAUUUAUGCAGAUAGUUUAAAACCAAAUAUUCCCUAUAAGACAAUCCUGCUGUCUACUACAGAUCCUGCAGACUUUGCUGUGGCUGAAGCUUUAGAGAAGUAUGGUCUGGAAAAAGAAAACCCUAAGGAUUACUGCAUCGCCCGGGUUAUGCUUCCUCCUGGAGCCCAGCAUUCUGAUGAAAAGGGUGCUAAAGAAAUUAUUCUUGAUGAUGAUGAGUGUCCUUUACAGAUCUUCAGGGAAUGGCCAAGUGACAAAGGGAUUUUAGUCUUUCAGUUGAAGAGGAGGCCACCAGACCACAUCCCAAAGAAAACCAAGAAACACUUGGAAGGCAAGACACCCAAGGGAAAGGAGAGAGCUGACGGGUCUGGCUAUGGCUCCACCCUUCCUCCGGAGAAGCUGCCCUAUUUAGUAGAGUUAAGCCCAGGGAGAAGGAAUCACUUUGCCUACUACAACUAUCACACUUAUGAAGAUGGUUCUGACUCUAGAGAUAAGCCAAAGCUUUACCGCCUUCAGUUAAGUGUUACUGAAGUUGGGACAGAAAAGUUGGAUGACAACUCUAUCCAGUUGUUUGGCCCAGGAAUUCAGCCCCAUCACUGUGACCUCACCAACAUGGAUGGAGUGGUCACUGUGACGCCCAGAAGUAUGGACGCAGAAACCUACGUGGAAGGCCAGCGCAUCUCGGAAACCACCAUGCUGCAGAGUGGCAUGAAAGUGCAGUUUGGGGCGUCCCAUGUAUUUAAGUUUGUGGACCCCAGUCAGGAUCAUGCUCUUGCAAAAAGAUCUGUGGAUGGAGGCCUGAUGGUUAAGGGCCCAAAACAUAAACCUGGAAUUGUUCAGGAGACAACUUUUGAUUUGGGAGGAGAUAUUCAUAGUGGGACAGCAUUACCGACAAGCAAGAGCACCACUAGGCUGGACAGUGACAGAGUGUCAUCUGCCUCUAGCACAGCUGAGCGGGGAAUGGUGAAGCCGAUGAUCAGAGUAGAGCAGCAGCCAGAUUAUCGCAGGCAAGAAAGCAGAACGCAGGAUGCUUCUGGGCCUGAACUGAUACUACCUGCAAGCAUUGAAUUCAGGGAAAGUUCUGAAGAUUCAUUUUUGUCUGCCAUUAUAAAUUAUACUAAUAGCUCUACAGUCCACUUUAAGUUGUCCCCUACAUAUGUAUUAUAUAUGGCAUGCCGGUAUGUAUUGUCCAACCAGUACAGACCUGACAUCAGCCCUACAGAGCGCACACAUAAAGUCAUUGCAGUCGUCAACAAGAUGGUGAGCAUGAUGGAGGGCGUCAUCCAGGAAGUAGACCAGGUUGACCAGAAACAGAAGAAUAUUGCAGGGGCACUUGCCUUCUGGAUGGCAAAUGCAUCUGAACUUCUCAACUUCAUUAAGCAAGACCGAGACCUUAGUCGGAUCACAUUGGAUGCUCAAGAUGUUUUAGCACAUUUGGUUCAAAUGGCAUUUAAAUACUUGGUUCACUGUCUUCAAUCAGAACUUAAUAAUUACAUGCCAGCCUUUCUAGAUGACCCUGAAGAGAACAGUCUGCAGAGACCAAAAAUAGAUGAUGUGCUGCACACGCUCACAGGAGCCAUGUCCUUGCUACGACGCUGCAGAGUCAAUGCCGCCCUGACCAUCCAGCUCUUCUCUCAGCUAUUCCACUUUAUCAAUAUGUGGCUGUUCAAUAGAUUGGUGACUGACCCAGAUUCAGGGCUGUGCUCCCAUUACUGGGGUGCAAUUAUCCGUCAGCAGUUGGGACAUAUUGAAGCCUGGGCUGAGAAGCAGGGACUGGAGCUGGCUGCGGACUGUCAUCUGAGCAGGAUCGUGCAGGCAACGACUUUGCUUACCAUGGAUAAGUAUGCACCUGAUGACAUUCCAAAUAUAAACAGCACCUGCUUUAAGUUAAAUUCACUACAACUUCAAGCCUUAUUACAGAACUAUCACUGUGCACCUGAUGAGCCUUUUAUCCCAACGGAUCUUAUAGAAAAUGUAGUGGCUGUGGCUGAAAACACUGCUGAUGAGCUGGCCCGCAGCGAUGGAAGGGAAGUGCAGCUGGAGGAAGAUCCUGAUCUGCAGCUGCCGUUUCUUUUGCCAGAAGAUGGUUAUUCUUGUGAUGUUGUCAGAAACAUUCCAAAUGGUUUACAAGAAUUUUUAGACCCUCUGUGCCAGAGAGGAUUUUGCAGAUUAAUUCCUCACACACGUUCACCAGGUACUUGGACAAUAUAUUUUGAAGGUGCAGAUUAUGAAAGUCACCUUCUGCGUGAGAACACAGAGCUGGCUCAGCCUCUGAGGAAAGAACCUGAAAUAAUCACUGUGACCCUAAAAAAGCAGAAUGGAAUGGGCCUUAGCAUUGUUGCAGCAAAGGGUGCUGGUCAAGAUAAACUAGGAAUCUAUGUGAAAUCGGUUGUGAAAGGAGGUGCUGCAGAUGUGGAUGGACGUCUAGCUGCAGGUGAUCAGCUCCUCAGUGUGGAUGGACGAAGUCUAGUUGGACUCUCUCAGGAAAGGGCGGCAGAACUCAUGACAAGAACAAGCUCUGUGGUGACACUGGAAGUAGCAAAGCAGGGUGCCAUCUACCACGGUCUGGCCACCCUUCUCAAUCAGCCAUCCCCCAUGAUGCAGAGAAUUUCAGAUCGUCGUGGCUCAGGUAAACCCCGACCAAAGAGUGAAGGCUUUGAGCUCUAUAAUAAUUCAACUCAAAAUGGGUCUCCUGAGAGUCCUCAGCUGCCUUGGGCAGAAUAUAGUGAACCAAAGAAAUUGCCUGGUGAUGACAGACUGAUGAAAAAUAGAGCUGAUCACCGUUCCAGCCCCAACGUAGCAAAUCAGCCUCCUAGUCCUGGAGGGAAAAGUGCAUAUGCCUCUGGAACAACAGCGAAGAUAACAUCUGUCUCUACUGGAAACCUCUGCACUGAGGAGCAGACGCCUCCGCCUAGACCUGAAGCCUAUCCCAUCCCCACUCAGACGUACACCAGAGAGUAUUUUACCUUCCCAGCUUCCAAAUCCCAGGAUCGGAUGGCUCCUCCUCAGAACCAGUGGCCAAAUUAUGAGGAAAAGCCACAUAUGCACACAGAUAGUAAUCAUUCCAGUAUUGCAAUUCAGCGUGUUACACGUUCCCAAGAAGAACUUCGAGAAGAUAAAGCUUACCAACUUGAGCGGCAUCGAAUAGAGGCAGCUAUGGACCGAAAGUCUGAUAGUGAUAUGUGGAUAAAUCAGAGCUCCUCAUUGGACUCCAGUACGUCUAGCCAAGAGCAUCUGAACCAUUCCUCUAAGUCGGUCACCCCUGCUUCCACACUGACCAAAAGUGGCCCUGGCCGUUGGAAAACACCAGCAGCCAUACCGGCCACCCCUGUGGCCGUCUCCCAGCCAAUCCGAACAGACCUGCCUCCGCCACCCCCGCCACCUCCCGUCCACUAUGCCGGUGAUUUCGAUGGAAUGUCCAUGGAUUUGCCUCUCCCACCACCCCCUUCUGCCAACCAGAUAGGGCUGCCGUCUGCGCAGGUGGCUGCCGCCGAACGGAAAAAGAGAGAAGAACAUCAACGUUGGUAUGAGAAGGAGAAGGCCCGCCUGGAGGAGGAGCGGGAGAGGAAGCGGAGAGAGCAGGAGAGGAAGUUGGGCCAGAUGCGCACUCAGUCUUUAAACCCUGCUCCGUUUUCUCCCCUGACCGCACAGCAGAUGAAGCCCGAAAAGCCUUCCACGCUCCAGCGGCCCCAGGAAACAGUCAUUCGGGAGCUGCAGCCUCAGCAGCAGCCCCGCACGAUUGAGCGCAGAGACUUGCAGUACAUCACAGUCAGCAAAGAGGAGCUUUCCUCGGGAGACAGUCUGUCCCCUGACCCGUGGAAGCGGGACGCCAAGGAGAAGCUGGAGAAGCAGCAGCAGAUGCACAUCGUGGACAUGCUGAGCAAGGAGAUCCAGGAGCUCCAGGGCAAACCGGACCGCAGCGCCGAGGAGAGCGACCGGCUGCGGAAGCUCAUGCUGGAGUGGCAGUUCCAGAAGAGACUCCAGGAGUCGAAGCAGAAGGACGAAGAUGACGAGGAGGAGGAGGACGACGAUGUGGACACCAUGCUGAUCAUGCAGCGCCUGGAGGCUGAACGAAGAGCGAGGCAGACUGCUAUGCCAGCAAUCUCUGUUCUAGAUUUGUUGCAGGACGAGGAGCGGAGGCGGCAGCAGCAGUUAGAAGAGAUGCGCAAGCGGGAAGCGGAAGACCGAGCGAGGCAAGAGGAAGAGCGCCGGCGGCAGGAGGAGGAGCGAACAAAACGAGACGCUGAAGAAAAGCAGAGGCGACAGGAAGAAGGGUAUUACAGCCGCCUGGAAGCUGAGAGGCGCAGACAGCACGACGAGGCGGCGCGCAGGUUGCUGGAGCCCGAGGCGCCCGGUCUGUGCCGCCCUCCGCUUCCCCGGGACUACGAGCCCCCGUCCCCGUCCCUCGCGCCUGGCGCCCCUCCUCCCCCGCCUCAGCGAAACGCCUCCUACCUCAAAACACAGGUCCUCUCCCCCGACUCGCUGUUCACUGCCAAGUUUGUUGCAUACAAUGAGGAGGAGGAGGAGGAGGACUGCAGCCUAGCAGGUCAGGAUAAGUACUCCAGCACAAGAAAGUCUCAUGGGGACCUCCUUCCUGCCCCUCUUAAACCACGGCCACCCCCCUGCCAGCCACGCCCGGCCUCCGAUGGCAUCUUUCUCUCCAACUCAUUCCAGCCACCCUCAGCCAAAGCCAACAGUACUGCUCACAAAAAAGGCCAGCCCCCGCCCCCUCCAAAAAAAUCCAGCUCCUACCAUCCCAGCCACUGCAAAGGUAGAGGUAAAAGAGUGACAAAUCAGCUCUCUUUGUCUUAAUGAUUGGAACCUCAGCAUCUCUCUGCACACUUGCCCUGUAGUAUGGUCCAUGGCGAUCGUACUUGCCUUGGAAUUUGGAUGUCAUGUGAUCACUGGUCUCAGCAUGGUGAUCCUCCUCUGCCUCUGAUUGUGAUGUUCUGUGCUAAUACUCUUUGGUAGAUAUCUUAGUACUCCGAUUUCUUUUACACUUUAAAAAGUUCCAUUUCUUUGAUCAGCUGACAAUCAGUCCUUCUCUGUUGUUCCCAAAUCACUUGAAGUACUGUUGGUCUUGGCUUUCAUUUUCUAUCUCUACAAAUGAUCUUAUAUUUGUUUGAACAAGUGCCUUUUCACACAUUGUAGUGUCUCUAAAGACAAAGUGUUAUAAUUACAUUAUAAGUUUCCAUUAUUUAAUGUUGGUAGAACUUUCUGUUCUGGAUUAAGUAGCCUGUGGAAUAAAUUAUGCGCGCUCAUGGUGGUUUGGUUGGUGUGGCCGGAGCAUCUGCUAAGCUGGUUAACUGUUGGCUUCAUGACCUCCGUGCAGGCUGCCUCACGCCAGGGUCCAGAGACCCCAGUUACAGUGAAAUUCCUCUCAUCCCCUUUUCCUCUAACUGGCUUCACUCCUACCUGUUACUUGCACUCUUAGCACCUAGUAACACCAGCAGCCAGACCUUAGCAGGCGUGCAGCUGCUCUUAGGGAAACCCCCUGCGCUGACUGUAGAGCAGGACCGUUCUGCAGGGGACAGGGCCUAGAGGCUGUCACAGGCGUGGGUUCAGUAGUCAGUGUUUUCAAGACAGCAUGUUUACAAUAUAGCUGAAUUCAUAAGGAUUCAGAUUCCACACUAAUCUUACCUUAAAUGAAACUGGAAUUCUGGUACUAAAUAUCUUCAGAUACAGGAGGAUUACUUUUAAUGAGUGUAUGAGAGUCUUCUAAAUCCUGCAUCAUUCUCCAUAAGCAAGGCAUGGGACUCGACAAUUCUGAAAUUGUCGAAUAGUCUGACUCAGUGUAACUGUCACUCUUACUCAACAGAUUAAUUUUGCCAGAAUUCUGUCUUUCCCUGCCCCCCCUGGAUCAGAGCUUUGAUCUACUUUGAAAGUUUAAUAUAUAAUAAUAUUUAGGUUGAGUCACUUUGGAAGCCAGGAUUAAAUCAUUUUAUGAAAUAUCUGUUGUAAAUAUCUAUAAUUUGGUACCUUUUAGAGAAAUUUACGGAAUAAUAGUAAAUUUUGAAGCAGGAUGCCAUCAGUCUCCUUGUAUUGAAUUUUAUAAGCCGAACUUAAGAUAUUUUAUGUGUCAUGACAGAAAUGUGAGGUUUGUUAGCCAAGUAUUAUAGUGAGGUGUCACUGCCCACCAUCUUGGCUCUCAGUCCUACCACUAACCCUUAUUUUACUGCACACGUGAAGUACCUCACAGGACCAGGUCAUAGCCGACAUCUGAUUGCUCCACUUCUCUGAAGACUUCUUCGUAAUGUACAGAGCCAUCUGCACCGUGUGCAGGGCAUUCUGACCUCGUGUCCUCCUCGUUUCACCAGCGUGGUCUCAUUCCUUGCUCAGCUCUGUUGCUGUCGCGAGCGCUCUGGUAAAGCUUCUGCAGAUGGACUGGGCUUCUUCCACUGGCCAGUGAGAGGAGCAGCAUUAGGAUGUGAAUGAGUAAUACCAGAUUUGAACAUAGCACUAUGUGAAAGAUUCAUCACUAAAGCUUUUUGAAAAUGAUCUGUGAUUUGGAGUAUUCAUAGAGAGUCAGCUGAAGGUAUUUGAUACUCUAAGUCUAAAAGUUCUGAAAAUUUUGAAGAAUUAAUUUUACCAGUGGAAAAAGCCAGUAUCAUUCUUAAAACAAAGCUCAAAAGAUAUAACACAAUGUUUUUAAAACUAAGCAAGAUAAAAAAUUUGGAACUAAAAUUGAAAAAAAUGUCUCCAUGAGGUAAUUUAUCUAAAGUCCCGCUAUAGAUUGUCAUAAGGUAGAGAUGUGUUUCUGUUGAAUCUUUUGAGUCUUUGCUGAGGAUGGCGCCCUCUGCAGGGUGGUGGGAAACCUGAGUGAAGGUGCAGUGCAGAGAGGAGCCUUCGAAAGGCAGCUGUGUCCCGUCUGCAGCACAUCAGAUGAGUUCUGCACAGCAGGUCCUUUUGUAGAAGAGGAGAAACAAAAAUUUAUUUUUGUGCAGGUUGUUUGAAAAAGAAUUUUAAUGUGAAAAUAUUGUACUACUUUUGUGGCCUGUCUAAUCCAAUAUUCAUUGCUGUCAGUGUUUGCUAAAUAGUUUGAGCAUUUAUUACUCCAGCCUGUAUUACACUGUCAGAUUUUUCCAGUGUGAAUUUUUCUAAUGCUACAUUUAAUAGAAAUACAUUAACACUGAUUUACUGCAUUAUGAUUUUAACAAUAUGACAUUGAUUGUUACUUGGAUACACUUAGUGACAUUAUUACUUGGAUACAUUUAAAACUUUGUGUCUGCAUCACAUCUUUUGAUCCUCAACAAUCCACUGAAGCCAGUAGGAACAGGGCAAAUGUUGCUGAUGGGUUGAUGUUACACUCACCCAGAGUUGCUCUGCCAGUCAGAGGCAGAGCUGGGCCAUGGGCAGUAUUCCUGUCUAAUAAUGAAGGGCGUCAGGUCAAUUUUUUAGCACCUUUUGAGAGUAGUAAUUGGAUUACUCAGGCCACCAACAGGGAUGAAUUUCAAAUUGAUGAAACUUUGAUACAAUAUGAAGGGUCUUUUACCUUCCUGCUUAUUCAGUAAAGGUAUUUUUUUAUUCUCUGAGCACUGCAUCUUUAUCAUGAGUAAAGCUUAGAAAUAAUCAAGUACUUUAACUUGUACUGUUUCUUUCAUGGAAAAGGACCAAACUCUUACCCAGGAUCUACUGGAGCAGCUGUUGGAGCCCAUGACGCCUAUCGGGAUGCAAAAGAGAAGCGCUCUAAAAGCCAAGAUGCAGAUUCACCUGGAAGUUCUGGGGCCCCUGAAAACUUGACAUUCAAGGAACGCCAGCGUCUUUUUUCACAAGGUCAAGAUGUAUCCAAUAAAGUGAAAGCUUCUCGUAAAUUAACAGAACUGGAGAAUGAACUGAACACAAAGUGAAAGAAAAUAGGGGAACACUUUGUAUUUACCCCAAAAUCUUUUCAGUUUGGGUUUGUAGGUGCGAGUUUGAAGAGGAAAGAGGAAGGGGGUUUUAUUUCCAAGUGAUUUACAAUUUCUGUUUCUAAAAUUGUUGGGAUUUAGAAAUGUUUGAAUUCCAAGAAAUUUUAUUUUACUUUACCAGGAGAUUGCCAUUUAUGUGAUUUAAACACUGUCUAGUUUCUUAAUUAUCUAACUCACAUGAGGGUAAGUUUUUUGUUGGUUUCUUUUUUGGAGUCCUGAGUUCAAAGGGGACAGAACUGAGGGCAGGAGGAGAGAAUGGAUGUGUCUUCUCUCCCAUCUUCCCCUCAUCAUCAACCGAGGAGCACAAAGAAGUUCUGUUUCUGUUUUUUUCAGAAACUUUAUUUUAGCUGUCAAGCAGAGAAUAGCUUGAACUAUUCAGACUAUUGUGGGCACUGUUUAGUAGUGACCACACACUCUUCUACCCGGGAAGGAACAUAUGGCGACAUGCUCCUCCCGUGUCCCCUGAUGGUGUCUGUUCCCACAACAUCCUUCUAGUCUGCAUCGUGAAAUGGCUUAGGCCAAAGCUUCCUGGGCGAUGACGCACGUCUGAGACUGUUCCAUCUCAUUCCUCGCAAAUUUCAGCUCUUCUGAUCAAUUCUAAAUAUUUGAUUAAUUUUAAUUCUGAAAGAAAAUUUUGAGGAUUUAAGCUUAGGGGAUUUUAUUUUUAUAAAUACCAGAUUAUUGUUAGACUUAAUAAAUCACUGGUAAAUUUAAAGAUGACAGUUAUAUUAGAAAGUUAACUAAUACUUCAGCUGUUCCAAGGCAUCUGUAAAAGAAGAGAUCUUUAUUGGAGCAAUGUUCAUGUGACUGGGAAUGGCAGAAGAAUGGGAGAUGAGUAGGGACCCCUCAAGCACAGCUGUCACUCAGAAAUUUUAAAUUUGAAAAAGAAAUAGAUUUUCAUCUGUAUGCCGUCAAGGAAGGAAUUCAAUUACAGGCAUCUGUAACUUAAAUAUUGUAAGAAUAACUCAUAUGGAAGUUCAAGCUAUUUUUAUAUUUAAUUUUAAUGUGUUGAAUUAUGAGUUACCACUGUCAUUUCUUCAGCUAUGGAUAUGUGGCUGAUGUUGGGGAGACGGACCUCAGUGUGUUUUAUAUUGUCUGGUGUUAAGAUGAUGAAUAACUUUGCGAUUACAAGCAAGUUUUCUAUUUGACAAAGCCCUUGGUGGAGUCCAAAUGAUUUUUCUGUACCAUAUUGUUCUCUUACACAUUCGUAUGUUAGGAAAAUAGGCACACUUGCAAAGAGGAUGUUCUCUUAUACAUAUGUUAGGAAAAUAGGCACACUUUCCUAUAAAGAGAGGUAUAGGGGCUUUUACUGCCUUCGAAAUCACUUUUAAUAAGAGUUGUAUGAUAAAUCAUUAAAAAUGCGAGUGUAAAUAUUUUUUUAUGUCUAUCAGGUUUUUUAUUUGAAAGUGUGCUCUUACCAUUUCCUUGUUUGAGUAAGAGAGUGAAAUGGUUCUGAGUGUUUAGGAAGGAUUUGCUUGCUUGCAGCGGAAGUUCUAGGAAGAGCAAGCGCCUCCCAAAUAUCUUGAGAACACUGGCAGCCUUAUGGUGACUAAAUCCACACUUUCUUUAAAGAGAUGCAGAUGAAUUACUUUUCUGUUAAUAUAUAGAAAAAUACACAGGAGAACAUGCAGAUACAUGUAAAUAUCUACAUACAGGGAUAUUUGUAUGUGUGGUUGUGAAACCUAUACACAAGUGAAUUUGGCCAUCUUUGGGCAGUGAGGUCAAAUGUGAAUAUGUGUAAAAGUGCUUUUCAGAACUGUGCAUUACUAUGAGAAAACAUCAAAACUGCUGUAGUUUUCCAUUUCUACUGUAUUUCAGUUGCAACCUAUUUUUAAUAAACUUUGUAUGUAUUUAAGUGUAUUUGCUACUGUUUUGAAAGUGCUGACAAAGUUUAUAUUUGUAACAUCAGCCCUCCUCGCCCGUCUCUUUCCAUCUGUCUAUUCUUCAUUAAACACUUACUGAGUAUGA